UCCUUAAUGGCUUACUACAUGGGGUUGUA
rnacentral:piRNA from 1 species